UCGGUCACAUUUUCAGCAGCAUCCAGAUUUUCAUAUCACAUCCUCUACUAUUCUGGCGUCAACAUUACGCAUCACAAGAUUAAACACAAGGAACUCUGGAGCUGUAAACGCAGAUAUGGCAUCUGGACCAGGACCAGGACCAGGACCAGGACCAGGACCAGUACCAGUACCUGCACCUCGAGGUGGAGGAACACCAAGAAAUGCUGGGGCUGGUCCUGAGGAACAGCCCACUAAUAGGUUAGGCGAUCCUCUGAAUAUUGAUGAGCAACCU
rnacentral:lncRNA from 1 species